UACGUAGGUGGCGAGCGUUGUCCGGAUUUACUGGGUGUAAAGGGCGCGUAGGCGGGCGAUCAAGUCAGAUGUGAAAUACCGAGGCUUAACUUCGGGGCUGCAUUUGAAACUGAUUGUCUUGAGUGUCGGAGAGGAAAGCGGAAUUCCUAGUGUAGCGGUGAAAUGCGUAGAUAUUAGGAGGAACACCAGUGGCGAAGGCGGCUUUCUGGACGAUAACUGACGCUGAGGCGCGAAAGCGUGGGGAGCAAACAGG
rnacentral:rRNA from 1 species